rnacentral:rRNA from 1 species
UGGUGGAGCGAUUUGUCUGGUCAAUUCCCAUAACGAACGAGACUCUAGCCUACUAAAUAGUUCGGGGACCCCCACAAAGGGGCCCCGCUUCAACUUCUUAGAGGGACAGGUGGCGUUUAGCCACACGAGAUUGAGCAAUAACA